UAUUUUAGCAUUUUAAAUGACUAAAGGUUUACUGCUUGGGAUGGCUNNCNUCCCAUUAGCUAGUUGGUAAGGUAACGGCUUACCAAGGCUAUGACGGGUAGGUGGUCUGAGAGGAUGGUCACCCACACUGGGACUGAGACACUGCCCAGACUNCUGCGGGAGGCUGNAGUCGAGAAUCUUCCGCAAUGCGNNCAAGCGUGACGGAGCAAUGCCGCGUGAAGGAUGAAGGCUUUCGGGUCGUAAACUUCUGUCAGAGGGGNNAAAUUAUGAUGGUACCCUCAGAGGA
rnacentral:rRNA from 1 species